rnacentral:rRNA from 1 species
UGGGGAAUUUUGGACAAUGGGCGCAAGCCUGAUCCAGCCAUGCCGCGUGAGUGAAGAAGGCCUUCGGGUUGUAAAGCUCUUUCGGACGGGAAGAAAUGGCGGGCUCUAACAUAGCCUGUCGACGACGGUACCGUAAGAAGAAGCACCGGCUAACUACGUGCCAGCAGCCACGGUAAUACGUAGGGGGCAAGCGUUGUCCGGAUUUACUGGGCGUAAAGGGCGCGUAGGCGGCGCGGUAAGUCACUUGUGAAAUCUCUGAGCUUAACUCAGAACGGCCAAGUGAUACUGCUGUGCUAGAGUGCAGAAGAGGCAACCGGAAUUCUUGGUGUAGCGGUGAAAUGCGUAGAUAUCAAGAGGAACACCUGAGGCGAAGGCGGGUUGCUGGGCCGACACUGACGCUGAUGCGCGAAAGCCAGGGGAGCAAACG